rnacentral:rRNA from 1 species
UACGGGGGGGGGCAAGCGUUGUUCGGAAUUACUGGGCGUAAAGGCUCGUAGGCGGCCAACUAAGUCGGACGUGAAAUCCCUCAGCUUAACUGGGGAACUGCGUCCGAUACUGGAUGGCUUGGAUUUGGGAGAGGGAUGCGGAAUUCCAGGUGUAGCGGUGAAAAUGCGUAGAUAUCUGGAGGAACACCGGUGGCGAAGGCGGCAUCCUGGACCGAUAUUGACGCUGAUGCGCGAAAGCCAGGGGGAGCAAACAGG